UACAGAGGGGGCAAGCGUUGUUCGGAAUUACUGGGCGUAAAGGGCGCGUAGGCGGCCUUCUAAGUCAGACGUGAAAUCCCUCGGCUCAACCGGGGAACUGCGUCUGAGACUGGAAGGCUUGAAUCCGGGAGAGGGAUGUGGAAUUCCAGGUGUAGCGGUGAAAUGCGUAGAUAUUUGGAGGAACACCGGUGGCGAAGGCGGCAUCCUGGACCGGUAUUGACGCUGAGGCGCGAAAGCCAGGGGAGCAAACGGG
rnacentral:rRNA from 1 species